GAAAUCUGUGAUCUGAUAAAAUGGUGCAUGGCCCUGAAGCCAAGUAAUCGUCCGACGCUCAAGCAGAUCUUGGAUCAUGACUGGUUUAAAACUGAGUCUAACGAAGAAGAGCUACUCUUUUACAAAAUGAGGGCGCUAUCCACAUAAAUAUAAAAAGGAUGAAGCUUAAUGACUGAAGGAGAGGGGAAUGAUUGGAGAUGCUGUUUUCACGGAUGAGUUUCUACAACCAGAAACUGAGAAUAAGCGCGGAUAUUAAAAGGGCCACAAUUACAAGAGAGACGAGCCAUUAUUUAAAACAGGAAUUUCUCAGGAGUAACACAUUUUUGGGAACUUUCUGCAUAAUGCUGUAUUUCAGCCUCAGACGCCACAACCACAGACCGCUGGCUGAACAUCUGAGGCAGAUCCUGUCUCGUCCUUAAAAAUAAAAAAGUUUUUAUUUUUUUAAUUCUUAAUGUUUUUAUUUUUUAAAGUUGUAUAAUAUAGUAUCUAAUAUAUAGUAUGUCCUCUAUAGAAUCAGCUAUGUCUGUCUCUCUCUCUAGGGUUUUUUUUCUCCUAGGAGUUUAGAGAGUCAGCUUACAUUGGCUUAACUUAGAUAUCUGUUCUAUACAUUA